rnacentral:lncRNA from 1 species
AAAAAAUGGGGUCACCGUUCACAACCUGCCUUCGAAAGAAGCAUACAUUUUUGUAAAGGUACCUUUUUUCUGUUGAACUAAUAGCAGAAAUAGAGGUACAUGUAAUACCGAAAUAAGAGAACUUAAUUACAGAAAUCGCUCAAAUUUUACAAUAGUUUAGUUUAAGAACAGCUUAAUUGAAAAUAAUAAUAAAAAAAAAGGUCACGGAUGAGUUCCAAAAAUGGCAUUUUUAUACCAAAGGGAGAUAAUUUUGAGCAAUUUUAAUGAUAUCUACAUUUUACAAUUCAUCUGAGGCCAUCAAAAAUUGAUUUUUUUAAAUUAUUUUUGUACCAUAUGAUAAAGUAACAACUCUUGCACGUUAAAGACACCCUUGUAGAUUUCGAAAAAGAGUAGGCUAAUGCCGCUACAAGGCAGCACUCGCACCCGCAAAGUGGAAAGGGAUUGAUAUAAGUUGUAAAACUUGUUUCCCAAUCCACUAUAAAUAAAUAUGUUUAAACUAAAGUAACAACUACUUAAGGUAACAAAUAAAAGAAGUAGGUAAGGUUCCGAUUUUGGCCUCAAAUUUCAAAUUCAUCUAACGAAAGAUUUUGGACACUUUUUAAACUCUUAACUGUCUAUUUCAAUUGAUUCAAUUAGUUAAUGUGAAAGAUUUUGACUGACUUAGUCAUUAAAAACGCUCAGAUUCAAGCUUUCGUAUGAAAAAUCUAUUGAAUUUGCCAAAAAAUGUCACUUUUCUGAUGGUUUUUGUCAAAAAAUGAAAGUGGCCGCAUCUGUGUUCAUCAACCUUUACAUGUAUAUAUAUAUAUUAUGUAUUAUCAUUAAAUACAAUUAAAGAACCUUAGUGAGCACACUCACAUACCCC